AUUGAACGCUGGCGGCAUGCUUUACACAUGCAAGUCGAACGGUAGGGUAGCAAUACCUGAGAGUGGCGAACGGGUGAGUAAUGCAUCGGAACAUGCCUAUUUGUGGGGGAUAGCCCGGCGAAAGCCGGAUUAAUACCGCAUACGAUCUAAGGAUGAAAGCUGGGGACCGCAAGGCCUAGCGCAAAUAGAGUGGCCGAUGUCAGAUUAGCUAGUUGGUGGGGUAAAGGCCCACCAAGGCAACGAUCUGUAGCUGGUUUGAGAGAACGACCAGCCACACUGGGACUGAGACACGGCCCAGACUCCUACGGGAGGCAGCAGUGGGGAAUUUUGGACAAUGGGCGCAAGCCUGAUCCAGCAAUGCCGCGUGCAGGAUGAAGGUCUUAGGAUCGUAAAGUUCUGUUGUUAGGGACGAAGGGCAAAGGGUUAUAAUACAGCCUUUGUUUGACGGUACCUAACGAGGAAGCCAACGGCUAACUACGUG
rnacentral:rRNA from 1 species